GUGUGUGUGUGUGUCGCCCCAAGCAGGAGAAAAAGAGGAGAAACCCUAAAAUCCUUGAAGUUGCAAAAUUGAGAAGGGAAAUUGAAGCUAAUCAUAUGCAUGAAUCUGAAUGUGCAACCAUUUAAGCCUACUAAUCAAGUGGCAUAGGGAUCAUGUGGAAAUGGACUCAAGAACGGAAGGUUAACGGGUCAAGCGGAGGCGAGGAAGCAAGCAUGAACACUAACGCUCGAGGUUGCGUGGAUUUAGCAUCAUUAUGAAGGAUAGAAAGAUUGAAGAUCGAGUCAAGAGCAAAGGAUUGUACG
rnacentral:lncRNA from 1 species